rnacentral:rRNA from 1 species
AGAACUUAGCAGAGAUGCUUUUGGUGCCUUCGGGAACUCUGAGACAGGUGCUGCAUGGCUGUCGUCAGCUCGUGUUGUGAAAUGUUGGGUUAAGUCCCGCAACGAGCGCAACCCUUUAUCCUUUGUUGCCAGCGGUCCGGCCGGGAACUCAAAGGAGACUGCCAGUGAUAAACUGGAGGAAGGUGGGGAUGACGUCAAGUCAUCAUGGCCCUUACGAGUAGGGCUACACACGUGCUACAAUGGCGCAUACAAAGAGAAGCGACCUCGCGAGAGCAAGCGGACCUCAUAAAGUGCGUCGUAGUCCGGAUUGGAGUCUGCAACUCGACUCCAUGAAGUCGGAAUCGCUAGUAAUCGUGGAUCAGAAUGCCACGGUGAAUACGUUCCCGGGCCUUGUACACACCGCCCGUCACACCAUGGGAGUGGGUUGCAAAAGAAGUAGGUAGCUUAACCUUCGGGAGGGCGCUUACCACUUUGUGAUUCAUGACUGGGGUGAAGUCGUAACAAGGUAGGCGUAGUGCU